GACGAACGCUGGCGGCGUGCCUAAUACAUGCAAGUAGAACGCUGAAGGAGGAGCUUGCUUCUCCGGAUGAGUUGCGAACGGGUGAGUAACGCGUAGGUAACCUGCCUGGUAGCGGGGGAUAACUAUUGGAAACGAUAGCUAAUACCGCAUAACAGUAGAUGUUGCAUGACAUUUGCUUAAAAGGUGCAAUUGCAUCACUACCAGAUGGACCUGCGUUGUAUUAGCUAGUUGGUGAGGUAACGGCUCACCAAGGCGACGAUACAUAGCCGACCUGAGAGGGUGAUCGGCCACACUGGGACUGAGACACGGCCCAGACUCCUACGGGAGGCAGCAGUAGGGAAUCUUCGGCAAUGGACGGAAGUCUGACCGAGCAACGCCGCGUGAGUGAAGAAGGUUUUCGGAUCGUAAAGCCCUGUUGUAAGAGAAGAACGAGUGUGAGAGUGGAAAGUUCACACUGUGGCGGUAUCUUACCAGAAAGGGACGGCUAACUACGUG
rnacentral:rRNA from 1 species